ACACAUGCAGUCGAGCGGUAGCACAGAAGAGCUUGCUCUUUGGGUGACGAGCGGCGGACGGGUGAGUAAUGUCUGGGAAACUGCCUGAUGGAGGGGGAUAACUACUGGAAACGGUAGCUAAUACCGCAUAACCUCGCAAGAGCAAAGAGGGGGACCUUCGGGCCUCUCGCCAUCAGAUGUGCCCAGAUGGGAUUAGCUAGUAGGUGAGGUAAUGGCUCACCUAGGCGACGAUCCCUAGCUGGUCUGAGAGGAUGACCAGCCACACUGGAACUGAGACACGGUCCAGACUCCUACGGGAGGCAGCAGUGGGGAAUAUUGCACAAUGGGCGCAAGCCUGAUGCAGCCAUGCCGCGUGUGUGAAGAAGGCCUUCGGGUUGUAAAGCACUUUCAUCGAGGAGGAAGGCGGUAAGGUUAAUAACCUUAUCGAUUGACGUUACUCGCAGAAGAAGCACCGGCUAACUCCGUGCCUGAGCCGCGGUAAUACGGACGAGGCACUCGUU
rnacentral:rRNA from 1 species